UACGUAGGGCGCAAGCGUUGUCCGGAAUUAUUGGGCGUAAAGAGCUCGUAGGCGGCUUGUCACGUCGGAUGUGAAAGCCCGGGGCUUAACCCCGGGUCUGCAUUCGAUACGGGCAGGCUUGAGUUCGGUAGGGGAGACUGGAAUUCCUGGUGUAGCGGUGAAAUGCGCAGAUAUCAGGAGGAACACCGGUGGCGAAGGCGGGUCUCUGGGCCGAUACUGACGCUGAGGAGCGAAAGCGUGGGGAGCGAACAGG
rnacentral:rRNA from 1 species